CGACAAGCGGUGGAGUAUGUGGUUUAAUUCGAUGCAACGCGAAGAACCUUACCUGGUCUUGACAUCCCGGAGACCCUUAGGAAACUAGGGGGUGCUUCCAUCUGGAAGAAUCUGGAGACAGGUGCUGCAUGGCUGUCGUCAGCUCGUGUCGUGAGAUGUUGGGUUAAGUCCCGCAACGAGCGCAACCCUUGCCUUUAGUUGCCAGCAGUUCGGCUGGGCACUCUAAAGGGACUGCCGGUGUUAAACCGGAGGAAGGUGGGGAUGACGUCAAGUCCUCAUGGCCUUUAUGACCAGGGCUACACACGUACUACAAUGGCCGAUACAAAGGGCAGCGACACUGCGAGGUGAAGCCAAUCCCGUAAAAUCGGUCUCAGUCCGGAUUGGAGUCUGCAACUCGACUCCAUGAAGUUGGAAUCGCUAGUAAUCGUGGAUCAGCAUGCCACGGUGAAUACGUUCCCGGGCCUU
rnacentral:rRNA from 1 species